rfam:Aedes aegypti strain Liverpool supercont1.600 genomic scaffold, whole genome shotgun sequence.
UGCCCAGCAACUCCUAUCCCUACCUCCUCGCGGUACUGGUCGGGGUACGAGUAACCUUAGGGAAGAUCGGGUAACCAACCCCCGGUGGGAACUUUGGUCGUAUGCUGACAGGGAAGG